UGGGGAAUAUUGGACAAUGGGCGAAAGCCUGAUCCAGCAAUGCCGCGUGUGUGAAGAAGGUCUUCGGAUUGUAAAGCACUUUCGACGGGGACGAUGAUGACGGUACCCGUAGAAGAAGCCCGGCUAACUUCGUGCCAG
rnacentral:rRNA from 1 species